rnacentral:tRNA from 1 species
GGGUAGGUAGUCCCGUAGGGGCCGGGGGCGGUCUGUAAAACCGUUGGCGCAAUGCCCGCGUGGGUUCGACUCCCACCCUGCCCACCA